rnacentral:misc_RNA from 1 species
UCUCGGCUUAUCACCGGCAGUCCCCCUAGAGUGCCCAACUUAAGGCUGGCAACUAAUGGCAAGGGUUGCGCUCGUUGCGGGACUUAAGCCAACACCUCACGGCACGAGCUGACGACAGCCAUGCAGCACCUGUGCUAGCCCCUUUCGGACACGGGCUUUCACCCGCUUUAACUAGCAUGUCAAGCCUAGGUAAGGUUCUUCGCGUUGCAUCGAAUUAAACCACAUGCUCCACCGCUUGUGCGGGCCCCCGUCAAUUCAUUUGAGUUUUAACCUUGCGGCCGUACUCCCCAGGCGGUCGACUUAUCGCGUUAACUGCGCCACAAAGUCCUCUAGGGACCCAACGGCUAGUCGACAUCGUUUACGGCGUGGACUAC